UAGCACUAUUGCCUGAGUCCUUGGUGCUCGCUGGCAGUAGCUGGAUUUUCUGUAGUGCAAUAGGAAUUCCUUGCUUCCAUAAGGACUUGUCCUGCUAUGGGCUGCUCCUCCCAACAGUUGGGCUUUU